rnacentral:rRNA from 1 species
CCUGGUUGAUCCUGCCAGUAGUCAUAAGCUUAUCUCAAAGAUUAACCUAUACAUGUGUAAGUAUAAACUAAUUCAGACUAUGAAACUACGAAUGGCUCAUUAAAUCAGUUAUAAUUUAUUUGAUGGUAACUACUACUCGGAUAAUCGUAGUAAUUCUAGAGCAAUUACGUGCAACAAAUCUUGACUUUUGGAAGGGAUGCAUUUAUUAGAUAAAUGGUCAACGCGAGCUUGUCCUGUUGCUCUGAUGAUUCAUGAUAACUCGACGGAUCGCAUGGCCUUCAUGCUUGCCACACAUCAUUCAAAUUUCUACCUUAUGAACUUUCGAUGGUAGGAUAGUGGCCUACUAUGGUGGUGAUGGGUAACGGAGAAUUAGGGUUUGAUUCCGGAGAGGGAGCCUGAGAAAUGGCUACCACAUCCAAGGAAGGCAGUAGGUGCACAAAUUACCCAAUCCUGGCAUGGGGAGGUAGUGACAAUAAAUAACAACGCCAGACUCAAUGGAAUGAGUACAAUCUAAAUCCCUUAAAGAUGAUCCCUUGGAGGGCAAGUCUGGUGUUAGCAGCCAAGGUAAUUCUAGCUCCAAUAGCUAUGGGUCGACCGAUCCGCCCUUGGGUGUGCACCGAUCAUCUCGUCCUAUUACGUUGGCCUUCAGGAUCGGAGUAAUGAUUAACAAAGAUAGUCAGGGGCAUUCAUAUUUCACAGUUAGGUGAAAUUCUUGGAUUUAUGAAGGAGGAACAACUGGGGAAGCAUUUGCUAAGGAUGUUUUCAUUAAUCAAGAAUGAAAGUUGGAGGCUCAAAGAUGUUCACUUACCGUCUGAGUCUCAACCAUAAGCGAUGCUGACUAGGGAUCAGUGAAUGUUUCUUUUAAGACUCUGCUGACACCUUAUGAGAAAUCAAAGUUUUUGGGUUCCGAGGGCAGUAUGGUCGUGAGGCUGAAACUUAAAAGAAUUGAUGAAAAGGCCCCACCAGAGUGGAGCCUGUGGCUUAAUUUGACUCAACACGGAGAAACCAACCAGGUCCAGACAUGGUAAGGAUUGAUAGACUGAGAGCUCUUUCUUGAUUCUAUGGGUGGUAGUGCAUGGCCGUUCUUAGUUGUGGAGCAAUUUGUCUGGUUAAUUCCGUUAAUGAACGAGACCUCAGCCUGCUAACUAGUUAUGUGAGGUGACUCCCCAUAGCUAGCUUCUUAGAGGGACUAUGGCCUUUCAGGCCACGAAAGUAAAUAACAGGUCUAUGAUGCCCUUAGAUGAUCUGGGCCGCAGGCACACUACACUGAUGUAUUCAACGAGUUUAUAGCCUUGACCAAUAGAGUCAGGUAAUCUUUGAAAUUUCAUCGUGAUGGGGAUAGAUUAUUGCAAUUGUUGUUCUUCAACGAGAAUUCCUAGUAAGCGCGAGUCAUCAGCUCGCGUUGACUACGUUCCUAUGAAAAGAUUUCUUCAAUUAGUGACAAUAUCAAGUAUAUUCUUUAUUUUAUUCAUUAUCAUCAAUGAAUAAAUUAGUGAACU